rnacentral:rRNA from 1 species
UACGUAGGGUGCAAGCGUUAUCCAGAUUUACUGGGCGUAAAGCGCACGCAGGCGGAUGAUUAAGUCAGCUGUGAAAGCUCCCGGCUCAACUGGGAAGGGUCGGCUGAAACUGGUCGUCUGGAGGGCAACAGAGGAGUGUAGAAUUUGCGGGUGUAGUGGUGAAAUGCGUAGAUAUCCGCAGGAAUACCAGUGGCGAAGGCGGCACUCUGGGUUGUACCUGACGCUGGAUGUGCGAAGGCUAGGGGAGCGAACAGG